GCCCGGGUGGCGGAAUGGCAGACGCGGCGGACUCAAAAUCCGCUGUCCGAAAGGGCGUGUGGGUUCGAAUCCCACCCCGGGCA
rnacentral:tRNA from 1 species